CGCCUCCAAGGUGAAAUCUCGGAGGUCACGAAUAAAUCCUUUCUCUACAGAUCCUGGCGUUGAAAUCUAUCUUCAUCUUUCACUCUACAAGCGACAUGCAAUAGGGGGCUUUCAAAAUAGGUCUAUUUCCCGGAUUCAGAUCUAUAAUAGUAAAACUCAAUGCUCAGUCGGUCGCACUAAGGAAGCCUAGUACCAUCCUCUGGGAAAAAUACUCAGGAAUUUCGACAACAGAAUAUUUCUAAAGUUGGUGGAGAGACUGGGCGUGUCAGACUACGACCUGUCAUAAGAAAUGCUUGACUUCUUUUUGAUUAAGUGCGAACGGGCUUCAUAGAAGAAAUGAGGUAGGAGGGAGGCACAACCCUCCGCCUUCAAGAAUUAUCGCUGAAUGAUCAACGAGUGGAACACUACUCGUUUAAGUUCGUCAUCAUGCGUUGCAACGGUCAGGAAGACAACGUCAGAUACCAUCAUAGGAUGACGUCAAAACCAUGCAUGCUCUAAGGUAGUAGGUCUAUCAUACAUAGGAAUGCAUCAUUGACAGAAACGGAUCUGCACAUAAUUAUAGACUCUGUCCACACACACAUAGAAUCCCCGGGAGGGCUGAUACUGAUACAUCAUAUUCAACGAGUGCUGGGUGGGUAGUUCAAAUAAUACAGCAAAAAAGUUUGAAACUAAUGAAAUGCGUGAACGCCGGAUCCAUAAGAAGGUGUGCAGGUUGUACCACAGAUGGGAAGUAUAACGCUUACUACAACAGAUUUUGGUAGGGGCUAGGGGUAUUCCUGGUACAGUGCAAAAAGCUUCGCGACCUUGUCGUGGCUGAUUAUUUUUCUUUCACAGCUGGAGGGGCUGCUGUAUUGAGGCUGAUGCUGAUGUCGCCAGCUCCUUGAAUUUUUUACUUCUUAUAUACAAUCUCUAAUCUGUGACCUUCUUGGCCACACUAAGAACAAGGCUCACUUUCCAUGUUACACUCACCCGACAAUGGGCUUCUUCCUGAUCAAGUUGUGGAGGACAUGUCGGGUAACUCAUUAUUCUGGAUCUACUACUUUCCUUUACUGCACUAUUUUCUUUUGCUGGGCUGGAUGAAUUCCCACUUGAGCUAAGAUCCUAAACUCCUAUCGUUUUGAACUUUGUCCUCACUCACACCACAUUUCCUUUCGCGAUCCUCUUCUUUUGAUUUUCGAUAAGAAUUUAGACAUCUCAUUCACGGAUUCCUCAUCAUUAGGGCUGGGCAUGAAGAACCUCCUGAUGAGUAGGUUAACCACAAUAUUUCCACCUAUUCUUGAUGUGCCAAUUGUAAUCCAGUUCAAACCGUCUUGGGCCUGCGAGAUUCUGUCGACACAAUGUGAGGGGCAUAUCGGGAUAGUUCCUAUAAACUUGGGCAUUGUACAGUUUUUUUUUUUUUCUACUACGAUCAUGUUCUUUUCGGCUUUAAAAUUUAAAACUCUUAAUCUUCUGAUCUCGGACCAUCUCGGGAAAAUACUCCUCGUUGAACACUUCCAAGAAUGCUAGGGCAUAACACAAUGGCUCUAGUGGCUUCUUUGAAUUGCCACCAAAUUUAGUGCGGCUCCUCAAACAUGAACGUGGCAAAACGCACUUUCUGUUCUCGUGCAAUGGCAGACUUCACACCUUCUCGAUUUUUCAAGAGUCAGCUCUUGUCGGCCAUGGGAUCGGGCAUUCCAUAGAAAGUUAUGAGGUCUUCAGUCUGCUUGGAAUUGCUUUAAAUUGUGGUACGUGGCAUCGGCUCUCGGCUCCUUCCUGGCAUUGGCAUUGCGGCGUUGUUGCGGUGCUUCAAUCGUGGUUAUUGUUAUUGUGGACAUCAUNNNNNNNNNNNNNNNNNNNNNNNNNNNNNNNNNNNNNNNNNNNNNNNNNNNNNNNNNNNNNNNNNNNNNNNNNNNNNNNNNNNNNNNNNNNNNNNNNNNNUUUUUAGUUUGCUUAAUUGAAGAUCCAAGAGAGAAAUUUAUUCACCCCAUCAUAUACCAUUUCAAAUUCUUUUUGCAUCUUUUUGAAAAUUCACUACCAUGUUUUCAUUUGUUAUCCAAAAUGGAUAUCAUCACUUAUUUGCACAUGAGUAAAUCAUCAUUUUUGAUUUUGGUAAACAGUAAGUGUCAAUUUUUCCUCUUUGUAAAUAAGCUUUUUUCCAAACAAAAUUCCCUUAGUCUUCAUCCAUACCAUGCUCUUGGUGUAUGUGUUCAUUCAAGCCAUACAAACUUUGGUCAAUUUGAGACAUGAUUUGGACAUUCGGAGUUUUCAAAAUCGGGUGUUUUCACAUAAAUUUCUUCAAUCCAUACAGACUUUGGUCAAUUUGAAGACAUAUGGGACAUUCGUGAUUUUCAAAACCGGGUGGUUGUUCAACAAAAUUUUUCAAAAUGAGACCAUUUAAAAAUCACUUUUGACAUCCAUUUGCAAUAAUUUAAAAUCUUUAUAGGAAGCAAAAGCUAAUCGCAGUCUUAUACUUCAAUUUGAGCUACAGGGGCCAAAGGGUUUUUUUCAUAUCAAUACCUUCUCUUGGUUGAAAUCUUGGGCUACUAGCUAGUUUUAUUUCGAAUGAUAUGUCCAUUUUCAUCCUUUUGUUACGAAAACCCUUUUGUUCCAAUAAUUGAUUGAUGUGUGAGUUUAGGAACCAAUGUCCAACAUGUUCCUUUCAAUUGGUUAAUUCCUCUUCUAAAUGCCAUUAACCAAAACCAUUAGUUUCACAGCUUCUUCAAUAUUUUUAGGUUAAUUUUUGACACAAAGCCUGUUAUUAGCAUAUUUUUAAGUUGAAAACUGUGUGAUUACACUUGUAGGGGUCCCUAGAAUUUGAUCAAUGGGGUGGAUCUUUAAUAAUUUUUCCAAAAUUUAGAAAAUUGUUGAUUUGUUCAUAUGAGAUGCAUUUUUAUGCUUUCUUCUUUUAUUAAGUCUUGAAGAUUGUAUCUUUUAACUUGAUAUCGUUAAGAUUAUUUCUAUGCACUAAUUCAUUAUCAUCAUCAAUGUCCUUAGGCUUGAAAGAAAUCAAUUUAUCAAUGCGACAUGUAUAUACUCUUCAAGGUAAACUCCUUUUUGUUAUAAACUCUAUAGGCUUUGCUAUUAUAGAAUAUCCAAGAAAUAGCCUUUAUCAAAUUUGCAUCAAACUUACCCAAAUUGUCUUUUUAUUGAGAAUAAGCAUUACACCAAAUAUCUUUGAAAUACACUAUAGUGAUAUUUUUUUCUUUCCAAAGCUCGUAGGGGUCCUUUUCAGUUUUGAUCUAAGACUACACGAGUUAUGAUUAUCCAAAAGUUGUAUUUACACCUUCAGCCCAAAAAUACUUAUGCAAUUAUGUUCAUUUAACAUGUUCUAGCCAUUUUCUUGAAGAUAUCUAUUUUUUACGUUCACAACUCCAUUUUGUUGAGUGUUCUAGGUGCCAGAGUUAGUGAAAAUCCAUGAUCACAUCACAUAUUUUUCAAUAGCUUGAUUAUCGAACUCUCUACUACCCUCUUAUCACCGCGAAUAUUGGUAUAAGUGCAACCUAUUUUAAUUUUGUACUAAUAUUUUAUAAAACACACACAUUUUGCAAAGGCAAUGUGUGCUUCAUUGUUGUGAGUAAGGAAAAAUAACCAGUAAAACGUGAAAAAUCACAACAUCACAAAUGCGUAUAGUUUUUUCUCACACAAAAACUAGCAACUCUAUAGGACGCAAAUAAAUCCAAUGCAAACGUAAGUGGUCUAGAAGUGGAAUAUGUUUUCUUCUUCAAAGAAAAAUUUCUUCUUUGAAAAAGAUAUUUUUAAUGUUGCUUCCCUAGCUUGACCUGCAUCACAAAUUUUAUUGUUAACAAACUUUAUUUUAGUCAACCUUUAACUAAAUCCAAGUUUGUUCAAUUUAAUAAGUAAAUCAUGCUAGCAUGUCCUAAUUUCAAUGCCUAACCAACUAUUUUUUAUUUAUACAGCAAACAUUUAACCUCUUUACUAACUAGACUAAUCAAUCAAAAGUGUAUACAUUUCCAUGUCCUAAUGCAAUAAAUAAUAUUUAUUUUAAUCAUUAAAGCAUGCGUAAUUAAGCUUUAUUUUUAUCAAAAAAUCUUAUGUCUUUUAUCACAUAAUGGGUUUUACUUAUUAGAUUUAUGUUUGAAGACCAUCAACUAUAGAACAUUUCACUGCAAUAUGAGUAAUUGUUCUAUUUCCCCCUACUCCAAUAAUUUUAACCUUUUAGUUAUCACCCAAUGUGACCAAUCCAUCAUCCUUGGGUGGUACAAGAUGAAAGCUUGGAUUUGUCUCCCUCAUUGUCUUAGCAAGCGCUAUCCAUAACCUUCUUUGAGCUUCCCUAAUGACUUAAGGCAACCUACAAAGUAAAUCAAAUACCUCUUUUUUGUAUCCAAAUUUUCUUGGGUCCGUGAUGGUCAGCUUUAAAUACAUUAUUUGUUUUUGUCCCAAACCUUAUAAUGUUCUAAAUGGUUUUUAGGCUUAUCCCUUAUAGUUUACUUGUGGAAAGUUUUUCUUCAUAAAAAAAAAGGACAAAACAAUAAUCUAUAAUCUGUUCAUUUCUCUUCAAUGAUUUGCCAAUAGUGAUGAAAAUUUAAGCAGAUUCUUUAUCAAAAAGUUUUUAUAAAUUUUAUUUAUUUUUAGGGGCAUAUCCUAAACCUUCCUUGUUGAGGACGCAUCUUGUCUUCCAAGUACAUAUCUAGUUUUCUUUGCCAUUUACAAAUUUUGCGAAAAUUUUUUUUUUUUUGUUUAUAUUUAAUGGUUCUUUUAGCCUAGUUAUUUUUUUUCUUCUAAAUAUUGACGACUUGAUCUGGAGGUGAGAUAAUUGUUAUUUUUUGAGUAAAUUUUUUUUUUAUAUUUUUUUAAAGUAAUAUCUCAUUCAAAAAUUCAGUUUUUUUUUAAGAAUUAUGUUUUAGCAUGUAGUUUUAAAUAGUAUUUUCACAUAACCAAUCAUAGACAUCUUGAAUUCUUCACUAAGAAAUGUCAUUCUUAUUAGUAUUAAACUCAUUUUACCUCAUCUCCUUUGUCAUGAGGCAUAAUUAAGCCAUCUCAUUUCCGCUCUCCUCUUCCUCUUGUUCUGAUCGCUUUCUCUUCUGAAUCCUCCCAAUUUCCCCCUUCAAAGACUUUUCUUUUGAAUUUCUUUCCUUCCUGCUUAAUAGGCGAGGGCAAUCUGAUUUUAGUGUCAAGCUUGUGGCACGCGACAAGUUAGAGGAUCCUUUUUGCUGGUUCGCCGUAAGGCGUCUCUUUCAGAUUAUCUUUCUGUUUAUAUUUUGAAUGUUUUCUCCUUUCUCAUAAACCCUUUUGAAUCUUUUGGUGAGAGUGGUCAUGUCUUUAUCGUCGUCACUUUCCUCUCUUCGUCCUUACUUCUUGAUGAGAGGUUUGAGUGCGCGACUUUUUUUGGGGCUUUUUGAUUCUUCUUCUUCUCGUCCCUUCAAUAUGAAUCCUGGUCAUGAGUUGAAUCCAAAGUUCAUCAAAACUCAUCUUGUGAGAUCUUUAGCUUCUUCAUACUUGUGACGUUUGCAUCCCAAUGUUUUGGUAUGGACCUAGAAUUUUGUUCUCUUUUUUCUUACCUGUUCCCAGGAGUAGAACAUUUGCCAAGAGAUUUUAAUGACUUUAUAGUAUUAGUAAAUCGUGUAAACAUCCAGAGAUAGAUUCUUCAGAUUUUAUACAAAAUAAUUCAUCCUCAUGAACUAACCUACUGAGGUUUUAAGUUCUUUACGUUGAUUUGUACCUUCAUAAGUUACUUCAAGUUUAUUCCAUAGGUUCUUUGCGGAUGCGCAGACAGAGAUUCCGAUUAAACUCAUUUGCUCGAAAGCACAAUAUAAUCUAGUUAUUGCUUUAGCAUUAAUUUGAAUUAAUCGUUAAUCAUCUUUUUAUCCCGUUCUCCCCAUUCUUCAUCAGUUUUAAUGACUUUUGUCUUAUCAACUUUCGGGGUAAUAUAGGGACUCAUCCCUAUAAUUUUUUCCAAGCCUCAUAAUCCAAGACUUGAAUGUAAUUUCUUCAUCCUAUUCUUUCAAUAUGUAUAUUGAUUCCCAUUAAAUAAAGGAGGCCUCUUUGAGGAGUGCCUUCCGAAAAUCAUUCCCUUUUGUGUUGCCAUGUCGUAAUACCUCCUUUGGAUGUUAAGCAAUAUUAGGUAGGCUCUGAAUACCAAUUGUGCCCCAAUAAUCAACCCUAGAAGGGGUGAAUAUGGUUGUUGGCACUUUUUUCUUUUAAUACAACAUGUACUGAAUUAAGCGUUGUAGAAUAAUUUAAGAGCAUUAUACUACAAAGAGCUAUCACUGAGCACAAUAAUAAAGAGAGAGAAGAAAGGGACAAAGAGAAUUCAAACUCGACGAUUUAUAGUUGGUUAGGUCCAUCUGACCUACAUCACUCCAAACACACCACUUGAGAUUUCAAUCCACUAAUCCAACCUUACGGGUGAGUUUCAAACAUUUACACGUCAAAGCACACCACUCUUCUUCAAACAUGUAGAAAUCCCUUUCCACACCUCAAAGGCAACACCAACCCUCAAGUCACACACAACAAACCUCUUGAUACAAUCACUAUUGAUCGUCUGUUGGAUAUUGCGCUCACAAUAACAAAUUUUCCUUUUUGCGAAGAUAUACAAUGAAGCUUUUACAAUGUCUCUCUCUCACUCGAGCGCUUUAUGAUCAAACUUGAAAGGCUCAGGAUUGAAAGAUAUGCUUUGAUUCUAAUCUUGUUUUUCUCACUUGAUUGGAUUUUUAAAAAUGAAAGCUAAGGAAGUAUUUAUAGGCCUUAGCCAAAAAUAGAACCGGUUGAAGAGAAUUUGAAAUUGGUUAGCCAUUUUCAAUUUGAAUUCCCAUUUUCAAAGUCAGUAAUUGUUGCGACAUCCCAAUGUUCAAAAGUUGUAACUAACAUUGUCAAAGUCCGAAAUUGUUUCUACAAAAUUUUUCAAAGUUGCAACCACAUUUUCAAAUCCCUAAAUUGUUCUCUCCAAAUUUUUCAAAGUCAUAAAUUAUUGCUAUAAGAGGGAAAAAGGGGGAAAAAAAACAACCAAACUUGGAAUAAAUCUUUUAAAGUCAAAAAUUGUUGGCUAGCAUAAUUUUGUCAAAAUAGAAAUUGUUGCUACAUAUUUUUUUAAAUGGGAAUCAAUUUUCAAAGUCAGAAAUUGUUUGGCUGACCAAGUUUUAAACUAAAUCAAAUUUCUCAAAAUCAAAAAUUAUUACUAGCCUAUUUUUUUUUUCAAAUGUAAUUAAAUUUUCAAAGUAAGAAUAUGCUAGCACAUUUUUUUAAGAACUUUAAAAUUUAAUAAUGACUUGUUGUAUUUUUAAAUGCUGAAAGAUAUUAAGGUCAUUUUAUAGCCUCAAGAAUUUAACUAUAUAAGAGCUUUAUAAAAAUCCCCCUACUACUAAAUUUCUUCAUGUCUUGAGAUCUUCAGUGCUUGAAUGCUUCUUCCUUUGCAGUCACAAAUAUCUCGAUUAUUUUUGAUCCUUAGAAGGUGUGCUUAAAUGUUUCUUGCAACUAGCAUACUCAUACUUGAAUUAAUACAUGAGCAAUAAGAUAGAAAUUUGUUACACAAUCUCAUCGAAAUACUGCAACAAUAUCGGAUUG
rnacentral:lncRNA from 1 species